GCGGGUCAGAUCGUGUCCGGUUAGAGCGAGCCGUCGAGCCCCAGCGCAGUAGAGGUAGAGGGUCGGGGCCCGCCCUGCACCCUAGGCAGCGGGGUUUGCCGAUGGGCGUGCAUUGGAAAGGGGGCACAGUGGGCUGGGAGGGUUUGGAGCGCGGAGGUUGCCAAGAGCGGUCGCCCUUGAACUUUUGGCCUCCAAGCACACUAGCAUUUGCUUCUCUACGCCUCCUGAACGUCAGAAGCCAAAUGAGGGAGAAGCCAGGGUCUCGUGAAAUGCUCAGAACACAUGCGUAAAACUACAGCAGGGUUGGGCUGGAGUGAAAUCAGCAACGUACCAAAACCAUGAAACACAGAAACAACUGCUUCUUCCAGACGUUCGACAUACCACCCAGAAGGCAGUGUGGAGAAGAGGAAAGAGUGAAGAUUUUAAAGUCAGACAAGCCUGGGUCUGUCAUCCAAUUAUUAUAUGCCCGUGGGUCUUUUUCUAACCUACUUCACAGAGUUGUGGAGAUUUAAUGAGAUAAUAAAUGAGUAACUUCAGCUACUCCCAGAAGCUUUCCAAAAUGUUGAUGAUUUCUCCAUAUAUCUCUUUAGCAGGGAUCUCUCUGCUGGAUCUGAGCUCCUGGAUGGCUCAGCCUGGAUCACUCAGAAGCCUAUCAGAGGCAAUUUAGCCAACAGUAAGUUAAUUAUUAAUUAUUGCUGGCGCUAGCCACACUCACUCCCCCGUGGGCCCCCCCACACCAAGUUUGAUCCUUCUCCAUCAGGCGCCACCUCAGGGAGAGGCGUCACCUGCCACACUGCCCAAGCCAGAAAGCCACAAGUCUUCCUUGAUGUCCCCUCAUUCGGACGCUACACAUCAGCCUCUUCCCUGUCUCUGCUAUUUGUCCACACCCCUCUAAGCUCAAAACCUUCACGUGAGUUCGGGCCUUCCUCUCUCUCUUCCCAUCCAGUUCACUGCAGCUGUCUCCUCUGACUGGCUUCUCUUGUGCUUUCGCUCAGUGCAGCUCUGUCACUUUCCUGUUUACAGUUAAUGGCUUCUCCUGCUGAAGGAUAAAGCUGGAGUUCCUUGUCAUGAUCUGAUCUCCGCUCUUAACCGCUUCUCCCAACCUCCCCCACCUAUGCUAAAUUAGGUGCACUUCCAAGCAUCGCUGCUCUCUCCUUCGCUUCCAAAUCAUCAAGCACAAUGUUUCCUCUGCCUCGUACUCCACUCCCCCUGUUUUUCUUUGGAUUAGCUCUUAAUCUUAUGGACUGGACUUCGGUGGGAGCUCCUCUAAGUUUGUCCACCGAACCCCCCUCCUAAGUGAGGUACUUUGCUUCUAUGCUCCCUGAGCGCUUCAUGCCUCACUUCUUUUUAACAAAAUUCUCUCACUCUGUAAUGUAAUUACUGUUACUCUAAAAAAAAAAAAAAAUGCCCUGCCUGUUAAUUUACCAGCAAAAAUGGGUUUAUUUGGGAAUAGCAAAGAAUUGCAAUUGGAGAUAGGCAAAUCUGUAGAACCAAGGAGAGACAGGCUCUUUCGUAGAGUAAGGGGGAGGUGUUGGGAGGGGCUUUUACAUACAAAAAGCCUAUUGGCGUAAACCUGGAGUUCAAAGUAUAGUGGCUCUUCAUUGGCUGAGUUGCGGCAGUCUCUCAUUGGCUGGGCUGUCGAGGGGAGUGGGGUGGGAGCCUAUCUUGGGCUUGCUGGGGUAGUAAAGUAGUAACCACGUAAGUGCAAAGCGCAUCCUUUCCUGUUGGGUCUGCAGUUGCGGAGGGGUGGUGGAGCAUGAAAACUACCCCUGCCAGCCUUCUGACUCCAUUCUAAAUAAGACUUCCUUUUAUUAAUUUUCAUAUUAUCUAAUGUAAUAAUAUGUAAGACUAUGGACCCCAUGCUAGGUACUAGACAUUCUGCUAAGUUCUUGACAUGUAUUAGCUCCUGUGAUCUUCCUAAUAAUUCUAUGCGGUGGGUACUGUUACCGUUCCUACCGCACAGACGACGCACAGAAAGGCAAACAUUCCUCCCAGUGUUACACAGCCAGGAUUCGAACCCAAGAGGUCUGACUCCAGUCCAUAUAAUUAUAUCCGAUGCUUUUUUUUGCAUCCAGUCAUCUCCAAGGAUUUUGUCUAUGUUAUUCACUGAUGUACUCUCAGGGCCUAGAAUAAAUUCUGGCAUGUAAUAGCUGCUCAUAAUGUGUUUACAGACACACUGAAUGAAUAAAUGCUAAUUCAUUUGUGUCCUUCCCUUCUGAGGGGCCAAGGGCUGGGUUUUAUUCUGUUUAUUCCUAGCAGCUGGCCUGGUACCUAGCACAUAAUAAAAUUGUCAAGCUUGCCUCUCUGCAUAGGUUCAUUGCCACUCUGAGUUCCAAGAUUCUAUUUUGCUUCUGUGCUUUUUUGAGACCCUGUAUCCACCCCACCAGCCAUAACGCACUUUGCUGCAUGUCAGUUUUCAGUGUGGAUAAAAAAAAAAUCUGGUCAGCUGCUGCUUGACAGCUGGAAAAACAGAGCUGCACUGGAGCCAAAACAAUUUUGUGCCUCAGAUAAGCAGGGAGGAGAGCCUCCUUCCUCAUGUGGGUAUGUGGGCAGAGGGCUGAAUCAUCGAGUUCUUUGAGUUCCUUGGAAAAAGAUAACUCAAAGGAAUAUUACACAACAUGGAGAAAUGAGGAGACUAAGUAGAGGCAUGAAAAUGACUGGAGUGUUGAAAAAUACAAACUAUAAGGCUAAAAAUAGUUGCGAGAGGAAAAAGCUGUGGGUCAAUAUUCCAGUGCCCCGAAGGUCUGUGCAUGAAUGGGUUCCAGUCUGAAGGAUGUUGAACAGAUGUUCACAGGAGGAAAGGAAUGUAGAUGCAAUAAUCUUAAGCUGAGACAGUGGGGAGAAGACAACUUAUCUAGGGGAAAGACAGCCUGGGCUGCAGCAUACUGUUAUAAAACAGUACCCUCGAGUGGUGCGUAACCCAGCCAGAGGGGAAGGGGGUGCACAAGUAAUGGGGAUGUUUCCCGGUAGGAGGUGGUACAUUUGGGCAAUUUUCUUUUUCCAUAGAUUUAAAGUCCCAGUAGAUUUUUAAACUGCAUUGCAGAAUCUCUCUAGAGACUUUGAAAACUUUGGGUAGGGUGGGGGUAGGGGGCGGGUUAGAAUUUUGCGGUCAUGCAAACAAACAUUCUUUGUUCCACUCUCUGGCUUAUUUGGUAGCUAACACUGGACAGACGCACAUUGGUACAGUAGACAGAGUGUGGGCGAGUUGCCUACUCAGGCUCUGCCUCAUUGUCUUUUUGGAGCAGUGCUUUACAAGAGUAUUUAAAGAUUUAAGAGGUGUGGCGAGUUAAGUAAAACACUAUUCUAAAGAGCAGGGGGUAGUCUCCAUAAAUGGGAGUGGAGUUGUGAUUGGUAUUCUUUUUUUACCAGCAUUAUUUAAUUUUCCUGCCAGGACUCCUGAGGUAUUGCCCCACCGUGACAAAGGUUAGGUAGGACCCAAGUCCGAGGGGCUUAUGAUUAGAAAGAAGAGACUGAAUUGGUUUCCCAGAUGGAGUCACUGGCUUCCAAGGAUCAUGAGGAGUAUCUUGUUUGGCAGUUUGUCCUGCAGGCCGUUGCUUGGGCUCCUGGGAAGGGAGGUGCUACAGAAAUGUAUUGUCAUGACUAAUGCCCUGAGGGAGGAGGACAACUGUGUACUAAGGUGUAUACUCUAACUCUUUCCUGUAGGUUCAUCUUUUCCACCCACGAAUGUACACACUUCAUGGGCAGGUAUCAGAUCUUCUAAUUCCUAUUUAUAACCUUUCUUUUUCUUUCUCAGGGUUUUCAGGAACUAAGAAUGCACAUAUGGAAGAGCGAAUGCAAAAAUUUAAGAUACUUAUAUUGCGAAACACAAGUGGAAUUUUAUAUAAAUAUAAUUCAUAAAAGGCAUUCACUUAAUGACUGGGUGGCCAUUGCUAAUAAUGCAAAGGGAUACGAAAACAGUACACAGAAUACAGGAAUAAUUCACAACUCAAAAUUAUGCAAAAGAGCUGAUGCUCUUCUUCAGUUUGUGUGCAUCUAAUAGACGGUCUUAAUAAAGAAGCUAAUGAGUAUCUGAUAACACUGUGCAGUGUAAACAUAAGGAGGAACCUAACAGGCUCACUAAUCAUGGAACAAAUCUUUUUCUGUGGACAACCAGAAAAUGCAAAAUCAUAGAACGACUGCAUCUGGACUAGAGGAAAAGAAUUCCUGCUCUCCUAUUAAUUCCAAGAAGGUAGAUUAAGACUUCUAAUCCCAUUAAAGAUAAAUGCCUUAAAAUGCUUGAGUACUUUAUUAUCAGAGAUUUUCCCUCUGGAUGCUGCAAUUUAAGAUUUUUAAAGGAAGAGUUAUACUUUAGAGCUCAGGAGAACUGUCUUUUUAAAAAAUUUAUUUUUAAUUCAAGUCUAAUUAAUAUACAAUGUUAUGUCAGUUUCAGGUGUACCAUAUAAUGAUUCCACAAUUCUAUACAUUUCCAGUGCUCAUCAAGUUAAAUGUAGUCUUAAUCCCCUUUAUUCAUCUCCCCCCCUCCCUGCAACCACCAGUAUAUGCUCUGUAUUUAAGAGU